GAUGAAGAACGCAGCGAAAUGCGAUAAGUAAUGUGAAUUGCAGAAUUCAGUGAAUCAUCGAAUCUUUGAACGCACAUUGCGCCCGUCAGUAUUCUGGCGGGCAUGCCUGUUCGAGCGUCAUUACGCCCCUCAAGUCCCCUGUGGACUUGGUGUUGGGGAUCGGCGAGGCUGGUUUUCCAGCACAGCCGUCCCUUAAAUUAAUUGGCGGUCUCGCCGUGGCCCUCCUCUGCGCAGUAGUAAAACACUCGCAACAGGAGCCCGGCGCGGUCCACUGCCGUAAAACCCCCCACCUGUUUAUAGUUGACCUCGAAUCAGGUAGGACUACCCGCUGAACUUAAGCAUAUCAAUAAGCGGAGGA
rnacentral:misc_RNA from 1 species